rnacentral:tRNA from 1 species
GUUUUUAAGGUGUUAUACAUAUUACAUUUUCGCUGUAAGUUGAGAGUUUAUUCUAAAAAUG